rnacentral:rRNA from 1 species
GGACCCGACUGCUAUCAGAGUGGGACUAAGCCAUGCGAGUCAACAUAGCAAUAUGUGGCAUACGGCUCAGUAACACGUAGUCAACAUGCCCAGGGGACGUGGAUAACCUCGGGAAACUGAGGAUAAACCGCGAUAGGUCAUCACUUUUGGAAUGGGUAAUGACUUAAACCUAUAUGGCCCCUGGAUUGGACUGCGGCCGAUCAGGCUGUUGGUGAGGUAAUGGCCCACCAAACCUGUAACCGGUACGGGCUUUGAGAGGAGGAGCCCGGAGAUGGGCACUGAGACAAGGGCCCAGGCCCUAUGGGGCGCAGCAGGCGCGAAACCUUUGCAAUAGGCGAAAGCUUGACAGGGUUACUUUGAGUGAUUUCCGUUAAGGAGAUCUUUUGGCACCUCUAAAAAUGGUGCAGAAUAAGGGGUGGGCAAGUUUGGUGU